CACGUAGGAGGCGAGCGUUAUCCGGAUUUACUGGGCGUAAAGCGCGUGCAGGCGGUUGGGUAAGUUGGAUGUGAAAGCUCCUGGCUUAACUGGGAGAGGUCGUUCAAUACUACCUGACUUGAGAGUGGUAGAGGAAAGCGGAAUUCCGGGUGUAGUGGUGAAAUGCGUAGAUAUCCGGAGGAACACCAGUGGCGAAAGCGGCUUUCUGGACCAUUUCUGACGCUCAGACGCGAAAGCUAGGGUAGCAAACGGGAUUAGAGACCCCGGUAGUCCUAGCUGUAAACGAUGUGAACUUGGCGUCGGUGGCUUCAAAACCAUCGGUGCCGCAGCAAACGCGAUAAGUUCACCGCCUGGGGAGUACGGUCGCAAGAUUAAA
rnacentral:rRNA from 1 species